GAACUAUUAUUUAAUCUAGAAAAUAUAUACAACAUUGGGGCCUCCUCUAGUACACCCCAAGUACAGGUGAAACAAGUUAAAUUAGUUGCAUAUCAGGAAUUAAAAACUAUUUUAAAAACAUAGAUGUCAGUCUAACAUGAAAUUUAGUUUACUUGAUGUGUGCUUUGUAGAACAUAUGUAUCUUCAUGUCAGAGCGAGGUUGCCGAGGUUUAUGACAACAGGGUUAGUUAGUUACACUUACGUGGGUAAAUACGACUUUUGGACUGCACGGUUAUUUUUGUUCAGGACCAUAUGUGGCAGGGCAAGCUGUCAACAGCAGGAUUGUUUGUAAAACUACGGGGCACUUGGCGCACACAAAACAUGUGACAUCUACGAUGAUUAAUUGAUUGAAU